rnacentral:tRNA from 1 species
GCACGUAUAGUAUAGUUGGAUAGUACAAUGAUUUCCUAAGUCAUGAGCCUCAGUUCGAAUCUGAGUAUGUGCA